GUACUUGCUUUGGCAGUACAUAUACUAAAAUUUGAACGAUACAGAGAAGAUUAGCAUGGCCUCUGCGCAAGGAUGACACGCAAAGGUGAUAUAAUCUAGCUGUGGUG